AUAUGGUAGGAGAGCGUUCUGUAAGCCUGCGAAGGUGUCUUGUAAAGGAUGCUGGAGGUAUCAGAAGUGCGAAUGCUGACAUGAGUAGCGAUAAUGCGGGUGAAAAGCCCGCACGCCGUAAGCCCAAGGUUUCCUGUUCAACGUUCAUCGGAGCAGGGUGAGUCGGCCCCUAAGGCGAGGCAGAGAUGCGUAGCUGAUGGGAAGCAGGUUAAUAUUCCUGCACCGUCGUAUGAUGCGAUGGGGGGACGGAUCGCGGAAGGUUGUCUGACUGUUGGAAUAGUCAGUUUCUGAUUCAUAGAAGGUACUUAGGCAAAUCCGGGUAC
rnacentral:rRNA from 1 species